rnacentral:lncRNA from 10 species
GUAAGUCCUUCCAGCUGCAUCCAGGUAAUCCCGGCCUUCGAGCGGGAGAGAUGAUACCCCCCGAGGGCCGGGCCUGGUCCGGCUCAGGAUGCGUGCCCUGUGAAAAUGCUCAGCAGCCCUCGCCUUUAGGAGUGCUCAGGUCCAGCAUGAAUCAUUCCUUUUUGAACUUGUCUAAAUGUGUUUAUAAAAUAAAGCUGCGGCCCAGGGCUGCUCCUGGCGGAGCGGGAAGAUUAAGAAAUACAAUCUUAAAAAGCUGAAGCUGGAAUGUGAACCAGUAUUUCCAACUUUAAGCUGAAAUCAUCUGAAUUUAAAGAACACAUCGUGGUGAAUGGGCUUUGCUGUCCCCCUCUCCUUCCAAAGACCUCUUCUGUAAGAGAUGAAAACACUGCAGGACUUCUGUGUCAGGGCGUUUCCAGAGUGGGGAGGAAGAGCACAUGAAUGAACUGGAAGUUUUCUUCUUUGAGAAACAGAUGCCCAGUUUGAACCAUCAUAUUCAUCUCUUCAAGGACAGCCCCUUUGCCCUGAGUUCCACAUUUUAACAUUGUGCUUUGCGAUCCAUUGAGAGUUAAUUGGCACCUUCAAUAAUAGUGCAUCUUACAAUCGAUGGCAUGUUAGACGCUAUGAAACAUGGUACCUCAAGCAGCUCAGCAAAUUCAUUAGCUCAUGGAACCACAGAAAGGAGCAGGGGCCACAGCACCCAAGAACUGGGAGUCCGUUUUUUCUCCCAGUCUCCUUCUCUGUCUUCCUCCUCUCACCCUCCCUAGCCCACUUCCCACUUCUCUCUUCUCUACACCCUCUUUCCCUCUCACUGUGUUAUCUGUGUGUUAUCUUGGCUUCAUCCCAUCGGGUCAGCUCACCCCACGAAGCUGGAUGCGUGGCCCAUGCAACUCCAGCCUGUGUGUGGUCUCACAGCGCUGAGACAAGAGAGGAAAAGACAGCUCUUUCCGCCAACUCCAGUAAGAAAAAAUCUCAGCAAAGG